rnacentral:rRNA from 1 species
UACAGAGGGUGCGAGCGUUGUCCGGAAUCACUGGGCGUAAAGCGCGCGUAGGCGGACAUUUAAGUCAGGGGUGAAAUGCCGGGGCUCAACCUCGGAACUGCCUUUGAUACUGGGUGUCUGGAGUUCGGGAGAGGUGAGUGGAAUUCCGAGUGUAGAGGUGAAAUUCGUAGAUAUUCGGAGGAACACCAGAAGCGAAGGCGGCUCACUGGCCCGAUACUGACGCUGAGGCGCGAAAGCGUGGGGAGCAAACAGG